ensembl:snRNA U6 U6 spliceosomal RNA
GUGUUCACUUCAACAGCACAUAUACUAAAAUUGGAAUGAUACAGAGAAUAUAAAUUAGCAUGGCUCUUGCACAUGGGUAACAUGCUAAUUUUUAAAGUAGGAUAUAGUUGU